GUUUGAGGCUGAGACUACUAUAACACAGAGAUUGGUCACUUCCCGUACUGACCAGUCAAAUAGUAAUUAAUUGUAAGUCUUCGAUCACGUGACUCGGCACGUGACUCGCAAUGAUUGACAAGAAGGAUUCGACCGCCAUUUUUGACAGCGAAAGAGAAAAUAAUAAUUAACAAAUGUGGAUUUAUAAAGAGUGUUAUGUUCCGGAAUACCCCCAGAAAGAAAUCACGCAUUAGAAGAAGGGAGAAGUACUACAGGAGAAAAUGACUUUUUUUAGUAUUUUUUUUAAUUUCAUUGAAUUUAUCAUGCUUGUCUUACAUGUUACAUGGAGAAAUAAAUAUUUAAGUCUUUGAA